UACGUAGGGCGCGAGCGUUGUCCGGAAUCAUUGGGCGUAAAGAGCUCGUAGGCGGUUUUGUCGCGUCUGCUGUGAAAUCCCGAGGCUCAACCUCGGGUCUGCAGUGGGUACGGGCAGACUAGAGUGUGGUAGGGGGAGAUUGGAAUUCCUGGUGUAGCGGUGGAAUGCGCAGAUAUCAGGAGGAACACCGGUGGCGAAGGCGGGUCUCUGGGCCGAUACUGACGCUGAGGAGCGAAAGCAUGGGUAGCGAACAGG
rnacentral:rRNA from 1 species